AAGGGCACCACAAGAACGCGUGGAGCAUGUGGCUUAAUUUGACUCAACGCGGGAAAUCUUACCAGGUCCGGACAUAUUGAGGAUUGACAGGCGAUAAGAUAUUAUUAUAUAUUUUAUUAUAUAUAAUAUAUCUAUAAAAAUGAUAGUCCUUUCAUGAUUAUAUGAUAGGUGGUGCAUGGCCGUUCUUAGUUCGUGGAGUGAUCUGUCUGCUUAAUUGCGUUUCAGAUAUAUAAUUAUAUAAUUUAAUAUAUUAUUAUAAUAAAUAUUGUGCUGCCUUAUUAUAUUAAUUUAUUUUAAGGAUUUUAAGUGAACAUAUUUAUAUUAUAUAUAUAUAUUAUUAUAUAUUAAAAUGAAUGCAACGAACGUGACCG
rnacentral:rRNA from 1 species